GUACAGACUGCUGCCCGCUGGCUGGCUAGGUCGCUCUGAAGGCCUCACCUACUGUGAUGAUGUCACCCCUGGGCCAGAAGUCCUGUGUUGCAUUAAAAAGGCAAUCUGAGCAAGCCAUGGGGAGCAAGCCAAUAAGCAGCACUCCGCUGGGUCUGCUUCAGUUCCUGCCUCCAAGUUCCUGUCCUGAAUCACCACCUUGGCUUCCCUGAUGAUGGACUAUGAUUGGGAAGCCUAAUAAACCAUUUCCUCUUCAAGUUUCUUCUAGUCAUGGAAUUUAUCACAGCAACAGAAAGCACACUAAAACAGAAAUUGAUACCAAGAUCCUAGGUUAUUGCUAUAACUGACCUGACUGUGUUCUUUUGGGGAGAAUUGUGGAAGGGUUUGGAAAUUUAGGAUGGAAAAUUAGUGCUCAAUCUUAAGGAGCUUUUCUGUGGGGACAUGGAAGAAAAGAAUACUGAGAACAAUCUAGAUGAUGGAAUCUUGGCCUGUGAUGCCUCAGAGGGAAGUUUGAGACUUUCUCAAAGACUACUGGGUAUGUCUGUAUAAUAUAUUUAAAUUAAGAGUCUGUGGUUUCUGGUCAGGGCUGUGAAAACCAUUAUGCUUAGAAGAAACCAGCAUCACUGAGGUGAAUCUUCUGGGGAUUAUUUUCUCAAGGCCAGCACAGAAGCUAUGAUCCAGAGGGGAGAGAUGCUAUCUCAUGUUGGCAGCCAAAGUUGGUAAUUUGUAAGAAUCCCCCAGAUGGCACUUGGUUAGAUAGCAUGAGAGCUGUAGGAUUGAAAGGGUCAUGAGGAGAAGCUGAUGGUUAGCACUGUAAGAGGCCAGGAGAGGCUACUGGUGAAGGUGCAAUCUCAGAUGUAAUAGGAACCCUAUGAUUGAAGAGGUCAUGGAAAGAAAUGGAGGCUUGGCACCGUUUGUCAGGGCGGUAGUUCCUGAAGAGAGGCCUGUGGAGACCACAGCAUACUGGAGAUGCUGGGACUAUGAGAUGACCACCAAGGAUGGUGGCAGGUACGGCAUGGAGCAAGCCUGAGCCUAGAGGACAAGUUGUGUGGUUAUAGACAGCAAAGCCAGAGAACUUGAGCUGCAUAGGCCCUUUGGAGCUCAGAAGAUUGUGAAUGAACCCCUGAUGUGGGACAUUGAACUGCAGGAUGACUUACACUGCUUGUGUUGGGCUAAUGCCCAUUUGACUGUAACUGUGCCCUAGUUCUUGCCUCCUGGAAUAAGAAGUAUGUAACUUAUUUUUUAAUGAACAGAAUCCUACAGUUAAAAGAAUUUUGGAUCUUUAGACAGUGAACUUGUAAAGACCGUAACACCUUUAAGGGUAUAAUAUGUUUUAUAUUUUGAUAUUAAUAUGAAAUCUUGGAAAUAAACAAGAAAUGGAAGGUUGUGACUUAGUAGUGAUAUAUUGGUGCAUCAAGUUAACAAAGGGUCAAUUGUCCUGGUUAGCAUUUUGUCAACUAUAUUCAAACAAAAGUCAUCUGGGAAGAGGGAACCUCAAUUGAGAACGGCCUCCAUGGUAUUACAUGUAGGCAAGUUUCUAUACAGGGCAUUUUUUGAUUAACAAUAUCAGAGGAGGUCACAACCCACUGGGUAAGUGCCACCCAUUAUCAGGUGGUCCUGAGUAGUAUAAGCAAUGACACUGAGCAAGCACUGUAUGUAGGGAGAGAUCGCUACGGACCUGUGGCCAGCUUCUAACCUAAAUCUGUAGUUUUUGCUAGGACUCAAAAAUAUAAGUACAUUCCUGCUGUUUGACAGAUACCCAGAUAUCCACUUUUUCUGCAAUAUGGGUUUCAGUACAGAUUGAUAAUGCUAAUAUAUCUAAAAAUGUUAUGUUCUUUUGUCUAAUAAAGUUCAUAUAGACUUCAGAGGAUCAAAAGUCUUAAAGCUUGGAUCCACUUCUCACAGGUUAAAAGGACUCCAGAUAAUUACAACCUAUGUUAUCCCACCUAUCUGUUCCUAAGGAUAGGAUUUUCUGCCCUGGUCUUUGACCUCCUGAUCACUGUGGGCCUAAGAGUUCUGUUUGGCCUGCUCCUAAAGACUUCAAGCCUUGGACUUGCUGUGGAUGUGAACCAGUCUAGCUGAUGUGGACACCUCCUGUCUCUUCAACAGUCUGACAACCAGCUGCUUCUGAUGGAUUCCCCAUUGCCUGAAUUCCCUUUUUGCUUUUAACGAGCACUUCAGCCUUCUUAGGUCCCUAACAAUGCCCCAGAGUCAGCAGGAAGUAAAAUGGGAAAGCAUAUGUUGCCCCUUUUCCCUGAUUGAGAUGCUAAGUCAAAAAGGAAACUCCCUUAUAUAGGGGACAAUAUGACAACAGAAGCAAAUGUCAUUCCCUCAGAAAAAUCUGUCAGCUAAUGGCAGGACCUGUUAACACCCCUUUGAGCCCCUAACAGGCAGGACUCAAUCCUGAGUCCUGCCACUGGUACUUUGAGAAGGGGGAAUGAAGGGACUAUACCGCACCACCACGUUUUAGCAGCCAUGACAGGCUAACAGGUGCUUGCCUGACCUUGCUGGACAUGUCAUGGUCACCAGGAGGUCAGAUGCCCACCUUGUUGCAAGGAACCAAUCAAAAGUUAGCUGACAGAGCUGUGCUUUACAGCUCGGCUCUGGGUGUGUUUUACAGACAAGUGCACAACAGCGAUGUGAAAAGCAUAGCAACCGCCCAAGGAGGGCCUAUGGGUCAUAACAACCAGUUGACCAAUCAACACCGGGUAGGCCAUCCAAGCCUGGAAGUACACGAAUCCUGAGACAACACUCCCCUUAGGCUGCCCUAUAAGAUCCCUUCCUCGUGGUUUCUCAGGAUCGUUCUCCAACCAUCUGCCAUAGUGGAGAGAUGAAGGGCCCGAAUUAAUGGAGUUAGUUUGUUAAACAACAGCAAUAAAAGACACAUUGCUUUUGCAUCGAAAUGGGCCUGUUGGUGAUUUGGGGGUUUCAGAAUUUGGGCACAACUGUACGCCAAGUGACUAAGCAGCAUUCAUUCAUGGCCUCUGCUUUGGUUCUUGCCUCUGGGUUCUGCCUCCAGGUUCCUGCCUUUGAGUUCCUGCCCAGAUUUACCUUCACAAUGGACUAUGCUU
ensembl:lncRNA